rnacentral:rRNA from 1 species
AUACCCGCUGAACUUAAGCAUAUCUAUAAGCGGAGGAAAAGAAACCAACAGGGAUUGCCCUAGUAACGGCGAGUGAAGCGGCAACAGCUCAAAUUUGAAAUCUGGCCCCCUCGGGGUCCGAGUUGUAAUUUGCAGAGGGAGCUUUUGGCGUCGGUCGUGGUCUAAGUUCCUUGGAACAGGACGUCACAGAGGGUGAGAAUCCCGUACGUGGCCGCCGGCCUUCGCCUUGUAAAGCCCCUUCGACGAGUCGAGUUGUUUGGGAAUGCAGCUCUAAAUGGGAGGUAAAUUUCUUCUAAAGCUAAAUACCCGCCAGAGACCGAUAGCGCACAAGUAGAGUGAUCGAAAGAUGAAAAGCACUUUGGAAAGAGAGUGAAAAAGCACGUGAAAUUGUUGAAAGGGAAGCGCUUGCGGCCAGACUUGCCCGCGGUUGAUCAUCCAGGCUCCGGCCUGGUGCACUCCUCCGCGGGCAGGCCAGCAUCAGUUCGGGCGGUCGGAUAAAGGCCUCUAUCACGUACCACCCCUCGGGGUGUCCUUAUAGGGGAGGCGCAACACGGCCAGCCCGGACUGAGGUUCCGCGCAUCUGCUAGGAUGCUGGCGUAAUGGCAGCAAGCGGCCCGUCUUGAAACACGGACCAAGGAGUCUAACAUCUAUGCGAGUGUUUGGGUGUCAAGCCCGAGCGCGUAAUGAAAGUGAACGGAGGUGGGAACCCUUACCGGUGCACCAUCGACCGAUCCUGAUGUCUUCGGAUGGAUUUGAGUAAGAGCAUAGCUGUUGGGACCCGAAAGAUGGUGAACUAUGCCUGAAUAGGGUGAAGCCAGAGGAAACUCUGGUGGAGGCUCGCAGCGGUUCUGACGUGCAAAUCGAUCGUCAAAUUUGGGCAUAGGGGCGAAAGACUAAUCGAACCAUC